CAUUGAUACUGAUCACCCAACAUCACAAGACAUCCCCAUCUCUCAGCGUGGACUCCCCCUAUCUGAUUUCGUUUUGCACCAGAGCUAAGGAGAAGUAGACACAACUAGUUUAGCAGAAAAUCAAGAGAAAAGUGGCUACUUGGGGCACCCCAGCUCGGCAGCCAAGAGCACAGCUCCUCCAUGGCAGAUGCGCUGCGAACACUCACGGCAAGUCCCAGCAGAGCGCCCGGCUGGCUGCACAUUCCCAGCCCUGUCCCACAGCCUCAUCCCUCUCCUGAAGCCUGGAGCAGGUGGAAGGACUCUGGAAGGACCAUGACCUUUUCCUGCCCAAUUGCACAAGGUUAAUGAGACCUGCAGAGGAAUCGCUGCUGGACACGGGGCAACACGAGCCUUGCAGAGCAUCACAUCUGGAGUCCAGAGGUGUUUGCCUCCCCCAUUUGCAUUUGCUUCCCACUCCCUCAUAUGGAGCAGGAUCAGUGAUUCUCCUUUGCAAAGAGCUCGAACAAGGACUGUGGAAGAGGAAUAAAGGGGAAAGGAGAUUUGAAAAUGAAGUCUAGUUAUUUUUUAAUCUCAUACCUGAAAUUUAUAGCAUCAUUCUCCCCUCUGAAUAAACAACUAUUCUGUCCCCUCCAAUUACAAUGCACAAAGCUGACUGCUACAUGCAAUGUCAAAUUUACACUGGUGCCUUUUAUCAGGAUUUCCUUUCAUAUUGCUCUCUAAGCAAUGACUUUGUAAGGAGAUUAACUGCAUUAUAUGCCACACAUUAAACAAACCCACAUGUAUACAACACAGCUUUUAAGAGAUUUCUCUUUUCCCCAGGAUAGCCCUUCCUAUCUUAGAAGGUCUUGGUUUUUAUUGGUUUUUAGCAUCCUAUCCUUCAAGCACUUGUCCACUGUCACCACUACCACCAGAGAGGAGUUCAA